rnacentral:lncRNA from 1 species
AGUUUAUUUCUCUGCUCUCUUUGUUCUGUGUAUUCUGGUAUGCUUUUUGAAAACUUCUCUAAUUCACAGACUAGAUGUCCACUCUCUAUCUUCUCUAUCGUUUUUCUUUUUGUUUCUAGUCUAUUUAUCUUUGUAUUCAGCUUUCUGGUCUAUUUAUCUAUUCUGCUCUCUAGGUGGUUUCCAUGAUAAAGGCCUAGAGUUGUGGUUCAGAGCCAUGGUUGCACGUUAGAAUCA